rnacentral:rRNA from 1 species
UACGUAGGGGGCUAGCGUUGUCCGGAUUUAUUGGGCGCAAAGAGCGUGUAGGCGGCCAUGUAGGUCCGGUGUGAAAACUCGAGGCUUAACCUCGAGAUGUCAUCGGAAACCAUUUGGCUAGAGUCCGGAAGAGGAGAGUGGAAUUCCUGGUGUAGCGGUGAAAUGCGCAGAUAUCAGGAAGAACACCAAUGGCGAAAGCAGCUCUCUGGGACGGUACUGACGCUGAGACGCGAAAGCCAGGGGAGCGAACGGG